AGGACGAAGGCUUCUGAGUUGUAACUACCUUCAGCAGGACGAUUGUGACGGUACCUGCAGAAGAAGCACCGGCCAACUGCGUGC
rnacentral:rRNA from 1 species